UGUGGGAGCGAGCUUGCUCGCGAAAGCGGUCGUUUACUCAACAUCAAUGUUGACUGAACUGAUGCCUUCGCGAGCAAGCUCGCUCCCACA
rnacentral:antisense_RNA from 1 species